GGACGAACGCUGGCGGCGUGCUUAACACAUGCAAGUCGAGCGGUAAGGCCCUUUCGGGGGUACGACGACGCGGCGAACGGGUGAGUAACACGUGGGUGACCUGCCUUUAGCUCUCGGGAUAAGGCCUGGGAAACUGGGUACUAAUACCGGAUAUGACCCUAUGGCGCAUGUUGUGGGGUGGAAAGCCUUGUGCGGCUAGGGAUGGGCCCGCGGCCUAUCAG
rnacentral:rRNA from 1 species